rnacentral:tRNA from 1 species
AGUAGAGUCAGCUAAUUAAGCUUUUGGGCCCAUACCCCAAAAAUGUUGGUUAAACUCCCACCUCUACUA